ACUCCUACGGGAGGCAGCAGUGGGGAAUAUUGCACAAUGGGCGCAAGCCUGAUGCAGCCAUGCCGCGUGUGUGAAGAAGGCCUUCGGUUGUAAAUGCACUUUCAGUCGUGAGGAAGGUAGUGUAGUUAAUAGCUGCAUUAUUUGACGUUAGCGACAGAAGAAGCACCGGCUAACUCCGUGCCAGCAGCCGCGGUAAUACGGAGGGUGCGAGCGUUAAUCGGAAUUACUGGGCGUAAAGCGCAUGCAGGUGGUUUGUUAAGUCAGAUGUGAAAG
rnacentral:rRNA from 1 species